GAUGAACGCUGGCGGCGUGCCUAAUACAUGCAAGUCGAGCGAACGGACGAGAAGCUUGCUUCUCUGAUGUUAGCGGCGGACGGGUGAGUAACACGUGGAUAACCUACCUAUAAGACUGGGAUAACUUCGGGAAACCGUAGCUAAUACCGGAUAAUAUUUUGAACCGCAUGGUUGAAAAGUGAAAGACGGUCUUGCUGUCACUUAUAGAUGGAUCCGCGCUGCAUUAGCUAGUUGGUAAGGUAACGGCUUACCAAGGCAACGAUGCAUAGCCGACCUGAGAGGGUGAUCGGCCACACUGGAACUGAGACACGGUCCAGACUCCUACGGGAGGCAGCAGUAGGGAAUCUUCCGCAAUGGGCGAAAGCCAGACGGAGCAACGCCGCGUGAGUGAUGAAGGUCUUCGGAUCGUAAAACUCUGUUAUUAGGGAAGAACAUAUGUGUAAGUAACUGUGCACAUCUUGACGGUACCUAAUCAGAAAGCCACGGCUAACUACGUG
rnacentral:rRNA from 1 species